UACGAAGGGGGCGAGCGUUGUUCGGAAUCACUGGGCGUAAAGGGCGCGUAGGCGGCCCUCUUAGUCGCGUGUGAAAGCCCCGGGCUCAACCUGGGAACGGCGCGCGAAACGGGAGGGCUGGAGUUCGGGAGAGGAGAGUGGAAUUCCCAGUGUAGAGGUGAAAUUCGUAGAUAUCAGGAGGAACACCAAUGGCGAAGGCAGCUCGCUGGGACGGUACUGACGCUGAGACGCGAAAGCGUGGGGAGCAAACAGG
rnacentral:rRNA from 1 species